rnacentral:lncRNA from 1 species
AAGGAGACACUUUUGGCCUAUAAAUAGAGGUGUCUCCACCCUUGUAUUUCAUCUUGGAUUAAUGUAACAUUUUGUUGCCAAAUUAUGACCAUACACUUCCUAGAUCAAGCCUAGAGCAACCCUAGAGGCCCAUCUAGUCACCAAACACUACACCACCACCACCAUAUCUCCUAAAGGAUGUGAGCUUCUACACCAUCCACACCUUAGAUCAUCAUCCUUGGACCAUUUACCACCACAUUUCUACACCAUACCUCCAAGGAAACACCCCUCCAUGCAUAUCUCCUAACUUUGACCCAACCUAGCUAAGGAGGUUGUCAUCAUUCCCUC